rnacentral:misc_RNA from 1 species
CCCACCCUCCCCCGAUCUGCCACCGGCCGGGAUAGAGAGCGAACUUCUUGCCCUAAUCCUUCACAGGGUGGGGACUGGGAGGCCAAAACCCACCCCAAACCUGCCUCAUUGCCAUUCUUAAUUAAUUAGUAUUAAAAUUAUUAUUUUAAGUAAACAAAUUAUUAUCUCCUAAAAACAUUUGUUUUUAUGUCCGUAAGAGGAAAUGUAAUUAAUUUUAGUGUGGAACUAAUAAUUUAAGCUCUAUGUUAUUUUAUAUGCAUGUACUCAUUUAUACGUGCAUAUGAAAUCUCUACUUUAGAUUAUUCAUUAAAGGUAUUCAUAAUAGCUCAUUUCACAUUUGUGCUACUUUUACUCUUACUUUUUGCUGUCACUUUGUUCUAAAGUAUAGAAUUGUCAUGCAUCUUUUAUUAAGUCGAGAGAAUAAUUCAUUCUUGUUAUAUAUUUAUUUUUCUUAGGCAGGUUGAGAUAAACAAUUAAAACUCAUUUUCAUUAAUUGAUAGGGCCAUUUGAAUAAGAGCAAUGUGAAAAUGCAAAUUAAAAAUGCAAACUAAUAUCAUGCUAGUAAUAAAUAGUAAGGAAUAAAAUAAAUGGCCUAGCUUAAUUUGCGCCUCAAAUUUCUCUUUUUGUCAGUAGCUUAAAGCAACCACCCCCAAUAACUCAUAACCAAAAACACCAUAUUUAUAGAAUGUGGAAAUAUAUUUUAGUCACCUUGAUCCAGCGUAUAUCAACUAUGGCAUCCUGAUAAGCCUUUCAAACACCAAUUCUUGCUUUGUCUGCAACAUCUCCAGCAAAAUUAACCAGUAUCAAACAAGCUCAUCAAACAAGUAUAAGCAACUAUUUCAAGUCUAAAAUGCAGGUCAUUAUACUUUGUUAACAAAUUAUAUAGAAAUUUCUCAUGCCAAUUCUUGCAUCCACCACCAUUCCUAAUCAAUCUACUCAUCAUCCUCAUCCUCAUCCUCCUUGAAAGGCUCAUUGUCUUUUCUAAAGCUGAUGCCUGGGACAUACUUCAACCAAACAGGGAAACCUCCAAAAUUCCAGUCAGCACGAACAUAAGGUCCAAUGCGAAGAUGAGCAUAUAGGCUUGAUUUCUGGAUUAACUUUAUGAACCUCAGAACAUCAUAUCUCCCUUCAAAAUUGUAGUACAUCCCAUAUGACAAGCACAAUUGACAAGAAAUUAAACAAGACUAAAUAAAACCCCCAAAAAAAAAAAAAUAGAGAGAGUAAAUCGAAGUACAUUUCCAGGUGUAGGCUCAUGCACAUUCCAGAAAACAUAGGUCUCAACAACAUCUAGUCCUCCAUCUUUGGCCUUCUAUAUCAUAUCUUCCCGCAUCCACUUGCUUCAUUUUAGCAUCAUUUGAAAAAAUUUACCAGAUCCGUAGAGCUGCUUCAUCAAGAAUCAUUGCUAGCGAGGCAAGAAAGAGAAUAAGAACUUCAAUCGGGCAUUGAUGCCUGAUUCUUAUGAUAACCACCUCAAAUAGUAACUACGAAAAAACUCAAAUAAGUUUGCUUGAACACUGGUGCUAGUGAACAAAGACUAGCACAAUUCUUCUUCUAGGGAAAAAAAAAAAAAAA